rnacentral:rRNA from 1 species
CAGUCGCCGCGGUAAUACGUAGGUUCCGAGCGUUGUCCGGAUUUAUUGGGCGUAAAGCGAGCGCAGGCGGUUAGAAAAGUCUGAAGUGAAAGGCAGUGGCUCAACCAUUGUAGGCUUUGGAAACUGUUUAACUUGAGUGCAGAAGGGGAGAGUGGAAUUCCAUGUGUAGCGGUGAAAUGCGUAGAUAUAUGGAGGAACACCGGUGGCGAAAGCGGCUCUCUGGUCUGUAACUGACGCUGAGGCUCGAAAGCGUGGGGAGCGAACAGGAUUAGAUACCCCGGUAGUCCCUGUCUCUUAUAAA